AUAGCAAGAUAAAUUUAGUCACGUACGAUAUAAAAUUAUUUUUAAAAAUUUCUUUCUGUUGAACUGAAACUUUAGUACUGUUUCUCAAAAGUCACACUGCACACCUAUCACAACCAUUUCUUUAAAAGCAACGCGCACGGUCUAGAAGCCAUCAGUCGUUCUUGGAUUGUGACGCCGUCAGCAGCUUCCGUGGUUCGCUCGACUCUUGAUGCGUGGAGCCGUUGAGUGUAUCUGGUUCCCAAUGACGAUAAGGCGGAUUUUUGUUCUUCAACGUUCACGGGCUGGUAGAUGAAGCCUACAUGGUGAGCGUGUAUUUUUCUUUCGCAGUGGCUGUCUGGGCCUUCCGAUUCGGCUCUGCCAUAACUGGGCUCAGUUAAGGGUUUGUCAGCGAAGCGUUUAUGUUCUUGUAAAGUGUAAAGCUCUUUCGCUGUAGCUAAGCUAGACAGAUGAAGAUGGCAUGCUUCAAGAGGAGCUACGCGCUUUUGUCUUCAAGUAACUUUAGGGUUAGGCUUAACUGAGCUCGCAUUCCGUCCGUCACAGAGCAACGGUCACUGUAGUUGCUGACCCAGUUGAGCUUUGACGAAGGGAAUGGCCUUUUUUUUUUUUUUUCGUCAACUGAAGAGGAACAUCGCGCUUCAGUUCGUAACCCAAAUGGGUGUUACGACAAAAGUAAGCUAUACUUUCUGUAUCCACCUUCGAUUCCAAUUCCAUUGUGGUUAGGGCUAGCUUACGGUCGCGCUGCUAGGUGUGUAAUUCGUUGCGAAACUAUUUAACACCUGUUGUGUUUCUGCUUGUAGCUUGAUCACUUUUCAAUAAAAUAUGCUAUGUUUUUGUUUCUGUAUUUUCUCAUUCCCUCUGACGCAGACAUGCGCUAGCUUACUAGUGAGGCAGUAACACUGCGUCAUCCCCGUUGUCAUUUUACUUUGUCAUUUUCUUGUAGUUAUGUCUCUUGUAUUUGACCACCAUUGCAAUAAAACCUUGCUGCUUGGGUUGACUGUCUUUUAUCAGUCCCUGAUAACGCGAACAUGCACUAGCUUACUGAUUGAGGCAGGUACAUUUUGGCUGUCCCCCUUUGCCUUCCAGAACACUCAAGUCAUCUGCGGCGCCGCAAUCUCUCACCAGGGUGGAUGCAAGAAGAGUUCCCGGUCAUGACAUGCCCACCACUUUAUAGAGUGCUGUUCCCUGCAGGGUGGAGACGGACAUGUGCGCCAGAAGCGUCUCGAAGACUUUCUUGUACUUUCCCUUUCUUGCCAUUCCGUCGCGCAAUAAAUAUGUUCCUC